rnacentral:rRNA from 1 species
UACGUAGGUGGCAAGCGUUAUCCGGAUUUAUUGGGCGUAAAGGGAACGCAGGCGGUCUUUUAAGUCUGAUGUGAAAGCCUUCGGCUUAACCGGAGUAGUGCAUUGGAAACUGGGAGACUUGAGUGCAGAAGAGGAGAGUGGAACUCCAUGUGUAGCGGUGAAAUGCGUAGAUAUAUGGAAGAACACCAGAGGCGAAAGCGGCUCUCUGGUCUGUAACUGACGCUGAGGUUCGAAAGCGUGGGUAGCAAACAGG